UGUGUCUCUAGUUAAUAAAUAAAGCUAGGAAGUUACAGCACAGCUAUUUAGUUAUAGCACGUUGUCUUCCGAGAUUGAAUCACAUGUACAUCCUGUAUGAAACAAGACGGCAGAACGUGUUUAUAAAGAUGCUGUCUGACUUCACAGGACGUCCUGGGGCGAGGCGUGGGGCGCCAGGAGGGACCGAGGCUGACCACCCAGCUGCUCUGAAACGCCCAAGGCCAGGCAGUAUUUUAGUUUUUUGUUUUUUCUUAAUAGUAGUAGUUCUGAUUUUCAUUCUGUGACAUUUUGCCAAAGCUGUGAUUUGAGAUAAUAUCUUGGGUCAUCCGAGUAGUUGGCUGUUUUUGCCCCUAUUGCUGCUCCUGCUACUAUAGUUUAUACAUUACUCAAUAAGUUUAAAUGUAAACUUAAGAGUUUGAUAUUUGUUACCGCUUUACAAGUGCAAGGGUGUUUGUUACCAGAUGUUAGACGAGCUACCACAGUUGUUACCAGACAUGGAGGUGAAACCACCUGUUUGUCACCAGACAUGGAGGUGAAACCACCUGUUUGUUACCAGACAUGGAGGUGAAACCACCUGUUUGUUACCAGACAUGGAGGUGAAACCACCUGUUUGUCACCAGACAUGGAGGUGAAACCACCUGUUUGUCACCAGACAUGGAGGUGAAACCACCUGUUUGUCACCAGACAUGGAGGUGAAACCACCUGUUUGUUGUCCAGAAUAGGACCCGUGGUGGAGGGCAGCUAGUGGGGAGCAGUGCUGGAGGACCUGCUGGGAAGGACAUCCCUCGUUGGGGUAAAGACACCCGUCUCUGAGAUGUGAAGGCUGCAGAGGACCCACCAGGAUCCCCUUGGAGGACAACCAUUGGACUACGUGAGGUCUUUGGAAGCACUACAGUUCAGAAUGCCUUCCAAAGAAUGAAGCCCACCCCCAUGGCUCAGCUAGUGGCGUUCACCGGACCAGGAACCCCAAGACCUGAAGGAGGAGCCGUGCAUCUGGAGGAACACCAUGAGGCUACCCGCCAAGUAUUACUCUGAGCUCUGCAGGGUGGUCAGGACGGCUGGAGACGUGGAGGACGGGGCGGGGAGCCAGGCUCACCAGUGAUCUCCUGGGCGAGGCGUGGGGCGCCAGGAGGGACCGAGGCCGACCACCAAGCUGUUCUGAAACGCUGAAGGCCAGGCAUUAUUUUAGUUCUUUGUUUUUGUUUUUCUUAGUAGUAGUAGUUCUGAUUUUCAUUCUGUGACAUUUUGCCAAAGCUGUGAUUUGAGAUAAUAUCUUGGGUCAUCCGAGUAGUUGGCUGUUUUUGACCCUAUUGCUGCUCCUGCUACUAUAGUUUAUACAUUACUCAAUAAGUUGAAAUGUAAACUGAAGAGUUUGAUAUUUGUUACCGCUUUACAAGUGCAAGGGUGUUUGUUACCAGAUGUUAGACGAGCUACCACGUUUGUUACCAGACAUGAAGGUGAAACCACCUGUUUGUCACCAGACAUGGAGGUGAAACCACCUGUUUGUUGUCCAGAAUAGGACCCGUGGUGGAGGGCAGCUAGUGGGGAGCAGUGCUGGAGGACCUGCUGGGAAGGACAUCCCUCGUAGGGGUAAAGACACCCGUCUCUGAGAUGUGAAGGCUGCAGAGGACCCACCAGGAUCCCCUUGGAGGACAACAAAUGGACUACGUGAGGUCUUUGGAAGCACUACAGUUCAGAAGGCCUUCCAAAGAAUGAAGCCCAGCCCCCAUGGCUCAGCUAGUGGCGUUCAGCGGACCAGGAACCCUGAGACCUGAAGGAGGAGCCGUGCAUCUGGAGGAACACCAUGAGGCUACCUGCCAAGUAUUACUCACUUCCACGAGGAGGGGGGCUGGCGGCUGGAGGACCUCCCUACUGGUGGGGCGAGUGACACCCGGCUCUACAGGGAUGACCACGGAGGAGAGAGAGCUGAAGCUGUGCAUCCUGAAGGGGAAUCUGCUACUGAUGGCGCGGUUGAAGUGCUGUGUUCAGUCUGGGAAGGACACACCUGAGCUGUUUCACCCUGAGCUGCUUCACACCUGCAUCUCUAACCAGCUGAAGCCCUUCAGUGACCAACAAAAGGUGCCUCAUCACAGCUUAUCAUCGCUGGCCUGAGGAUUCAUCCCCUACACUCACACAACGUGACUUUGUCACCAUCUGCUGCACGUUGGGAUGCUAACGUGUUCCACCAGGGGUUCCUUCCUUCCCGCAGUGGGAGUGUUCCUUGUCCUUCAAGGAGUUAGGGUUCAGUGUUAGGGACAGAGUUAGGGAGAGAUGGUUGAGUCCUGGCUGGUUUACGAUGAACUGCUCUAACGCUUUGCCAAAAUGUUUCAAUGUGCAAACACUCACAAACACAUACAAUGUAUAAUAAGUGUUUAUGAAAUAAAUUCUGUUAUAAUUCUGCAUGUUUGUGUAGGGGUUUUAUUACCAUUAAACAAUUUUCUCUCACCGCAACCUCCCCACUGCUCUCACCUUAACGUCACCUUAACGUCCCC
ensembl:lncRNA